UGGUUGUGGGAAUGGUAAGCGUUAAUCAUCAGUUCUCAUUGAAGUUGUCUUGUCAUUUUCUUAUGUAAUUCUUUAUGUGGGCCAGGGCUUGUCCAUUAAUUGGCGCGUUCCUUCUUUCAGAUUCAUUUAUCCGACUGCAGGAGCUGUUUACAUCAGCCCCACUGCGUGCUUCAUCAAAUCAACAUCAUCAUCUGCAGCCUACACAUUUCUCAAUUGGUACAACGUCAUCCACUCAACUGGCGCAACUGCAACUGGAUGGCUAUUUGUUCAAGCACAGUUGGAGGCAUCUUCAUUAAAUCAACUUGAUUGUCUCCUCACAUGUCACAAUGGGCUCAAUACAACUCAGGUGCCGCUACUGCUCUUCUCCAUAUUCUACUUUUAUGGGCUACGUAAACCAUCUGCCUCAUCAUCGUCACAUUACC